rnacentral:tRNA from 1 species
GGGGAUAUAGCUCAGUGGUAGAGUGGAUGCUUAGCAUGCACAAGGUCCUGGGUUCAAUCCCCAGGACCUCCA